CCUACGGGGCGCAGCAGUGGGGAAUAUUGGGCAAUGGGCGCAAGCCUGACCCAGCAACGCCGCGUGAAGGAAGGAGGCUUUCGGGUUGUAAACUUCUUUUCUGGGGGACGAACAAGUGACGGUACCCCAGGAAUAAGCCACGGCUAACUACGUGCCAGCAGCCGCGGUAAUACGUAGGUGGCAAGCGUUAUCCGGAUUUAUUGGGUGUAAAGGGCGUGUAGGCGGGAAUGCAAGUCAGAUGUGAAAACUCAGGGCUCAACCCUGAGCCUGCAUUUGAAACUGUGGUUCUUGAGUGCUGGAGAGGC
rnacentral:rRNA from 1 species